GACGAACGCUGGCGGCGUGCCUAAUAUAUGCAAGUCGAGCGAAGUUUUUCUGGUGCUUGCACCGGAAAAACUUAGCGGCGAACGGGUGAGUAACACGUAAAGAACCUGCCUCAUAGACUGGGACAACUAUUGGAAACGAUAGCUAAUACCGGAUAACAGCAUUAACUGCAUGGUUGAUGUUUAAAAGUUGGUUUUGCUAACACUAUGAGAUGGCUUUGCGGUGCAUUAGCUAGUUGGUGGGGUAAAGGCCUACCAAGGCGACGAUGCAUAGCCGACCUGAGAGGGUGAUCGGCCACACUGGGACUGAGACACGGCCCAGACUCCUACGGGAGGCAGCAGUAGGGAAUCUUCCGCAAUGGGCGAAAGCCUGACGGAGCAACGCCGCGUGAGUGAAGAAGGAUUUCGGUUCGUAAAGCUCUGUUGUUAGGGAAGAAUGAUUGUGUAGUAACUAUACACAGUAGAGACGGUACCUAACCAGAAAGCCACGGCUAACUACGUG
rnacentral:rRNA from 1 species